CCUACGGGCGGCUGCAGUGGGGAAUAUUGGACAAUGGGCGAAAGCCUGAUCCAGCAAUGCCGCGUGAGUGAUGAAGGCCUUAGGGUUGUAAAGCUCUUUUACCCGGGAUGAUAAUGACAGUACCGGGAGAAUAAGCUCCGGCUAACUCCGUGCCAGCAGCCGCGGUAAUACGGAGGGAGCUAGCGUUGUUCGGAAUUACUGGGCGUGAAGCGCACGUAGGCGGCUUUGUAAGUUAGAGGUGAAAGCCUGGAGCUUAACUCCAGAAUUGCCUUUAAGACUGCAUCGCUUGAAUCCGGGAGAGGUGAGUGGAAUUCCGAGUGUAGAGGUGAAAUUCGUAGAUAUUCGGAAGAACACCAGUGGCGAAGGCGGCUCACUGGACCGGUAUUGACGCUGAGGUGCGAAAGCGUGGGGAGCAAACAGGAUUAGAUACCCCAGUAGUC
rnacentral:rRNA from 1 species